GACGAACGCUGGCGGCGUGCUUAACACAUGCAAGUCGAACGGAAAGGCCCUGCUUGCAGGGUGCUCGAGUGGCGAACGGGUGAGUAACACGUGGGUGAUCUGCCCCUUACUUUGGGAUAAGCCUGGGAAACUGGGUCUAAUACUGGAUAGGACCAUGCUGUAGGUGGUGUGGUGGAAAGAUUUUUUCGGUAAGGGAUGAGCUCGCGGCCUAUCAGCUUGUUGGUGGGGUAAUGGCCUACCAAGGCGUCGACGGGUAGCCGGCCUGAGAGGGUGGACGGCCACAGUGGGACUGGGAUACGGCCCAGACUCCUACGGGAGGCAGCAGUGGGGAAUAUUGCACAAUGGGCGCAAGCCUGAUGCAGCGACGCCGCGUGGGGGAUGACGGCCUUCGGGUUGUAAACUCCUUUCAGCCAUGACGAAGCCUCUUUUGGGGUGACGGUAGUGGUAGAAGAAGCACCGGCUAACUACGUG
rnacentral:rRNA from 1 species